UGCCACAUGGGAGGGAGAC
rnacentral:piRNA from 1 species